rnacentral:lncRNA from 1 species
GAACGUAUUUGAGCUCCCCAAGAAGGAAAGAAAAGAAGAGGAUUGGUUUCAGAAGGUUGAUCAAUUGCAAUUUCCCCACCCAUCCCUCACCUCCCUUUCAGAUCUCAAAGACUAUAUUUCCAGGCUUAAGUAAAGAGCAACUCUUUAGUGGUCAGAGGUCUCUUCUUCAAUGAGUUCCAAGUCAAACUCAUCUUCUAUAGAACCUCCAACAGGUAGAAGACGGAACUUCUUUCCUCUCAGGGUACAUGUGCGGUGCUUGAAAUCCAAGAUGGCGCCAUGGUCUUGGAGUACAUCUGUUCCAAUGAUGGCUUCUUCUGUGCUUGCAUUGGCCACCAAGAAUUCAGCCUCCAUCUCAAACUUCCCCAGGGUCACUUUAGUGUCCCAGAUGCCCAAGAUCUUCAUCUCAGCCCCAUUGGCCACUUUUACCACAUUUUCAAAGGGUCGAAGGGUGUCUACAUCUCCAUCAGUAGCCUGCUCCCACAAGUCUGGACUGACCACUGAUACCUGGGCUCCAGAGUCCACUAGGAACCUCACAGGAAUACCCUCAAUUUUGCCUUUGAGCCAUAAUACCGCUCUCCACUGGACUUACGUGCACAAUCCACACAAGGCAGAUAAACCCGAAGAGCAGGACAGGAUCAAUCACGGUGGUGUCCAAGGCAAGUCUCAGCCAGAACUAGGACAACCCUUCAGCAGCCUGAAGAGUUGGAGCUUCCGGAUCUCUGGAGAUGGGAAACUUCUGGACUAUUGAAGCCAUCCAUUCUUGUUUCAAGGAGGCCUUCCUAGAGACACUUCCACAUUUGUUGUUGAAAAAGCCCGGAAGACCUUGAAACCUCUGACAUGAGUUUGAAUCCUGCUUUUGCCACUUACUCAGCAUGUGAUCUUGAGUAAGUCACUUCUUUUCUUAGGAACUUUGGUUUCCUCCUCUGUACAAUGGUCAUAAAGGAUUAUACUUGCACUAUCCUCAAAAGUUCCUAUUAUGAAAGCAUUCUAUAAACCUUAAAGCAGUAUGGCAGUGGUUAUUAUUAAUAAUAUUUAUAUUAUUAUUA